rnacentral:misc_RNA from 1 species
UGCAUAUAGUUUCACAUCUGUGGUAAGUUUAUGCAUCAAUUGCGUGAACUCUAGUUAACAUUUGAGGCGCAGUGGUAUACUUUUUUGCAUGGAUUGUCACAUGGUUUUGUUGCUUCUCAUACUACGCUAUUUUGCUGCUUGAAUAUGAACUUUUAUUUUUCAAGUUGGCAUCUGAAUCAUGGCCAUAAACCAUAAUCACUCAAAGCAGCUCAUUGGAUGCUCUUCAUAGGUCCAAGAGGCCUUCUGUUGCAACUAGCAUUUGAUUGAUGAUAGGAACAAGAGAAAUUCAGUGUUGUUUAGGUGAAAGAUUAUAUAAUUCUAUGCUGCCAGCAAUUUCUUAUAUAAUUGGCCAGGUUUGCAAAAAGUUUUGAGACCUUGGGGUGUGAAAUGGUAGAAGAAAGUGUAGGUAACACUUUGGUAGAACUAAGAUCCCGUGCAGAUCAGAUAAUAAAUAUGAAAUUGAUUAAUCUUAUGUAUGGAUCUCUUUGUUUGACAGUUUAGGCUUUCAGGUUCGAUUUGUUGUCAUAAUUAUUAAAAGUGCAAGGCAGUUUUGGAGUCUAGGCCCAGCUGUGCACCUGGGUGAUAUGAGGUGUCAGUCAAACCUCCUUUUUUCCCACCAUAAUUGCAGAAUGCUUAUAGUCAAAUUGAGGCAACAUCAAUUCUUGCAAGCUAGAUUAAUGGGCAGCUAUUUUCAGGGAUGGAGAGAGCUUAGGGCCAAGGAGGGCACUGGCCUCCCCGAGAUUUCAAAAAGUUUUAGGGUGUAUAGUGGUAAUUUUUCAAAAAUAAAUAUUUUAUAAGGUAAUUUACACUUUAGUACUUAAUGUUUAGUGAAAUAUACAACUUAGUCUAUUUAUUUUCAAAAUCAAAUAAAUUAGUUUCUCACUUUUUAAUCUAACCACCAAAUAGUCCAUACCAUUAAUUUAUCGUUAAUCCAGGUUCAAUUGAAACAAUUAAAUUUCUGUCAAUUUGAUGAAACCAAUGACUUAAUCGUUGUAUUUUCAAAGUCAAACAAAGUAGUCCCUCACUUUUUAAAUUUUAUAUUUAGAUAAUUAUAUAUAUUAUAUCAAAUAUAUAAUAAGGAUAAUCUUUUAUUAAAAUAUCUAUUGUGCAUCGUCUCCUAAAUUAUUAGAAAUAAUUGUGCUAAAAUAUAUAUAUUCAUAUUUAUAAUUUAUAAAUCCAUUAAACAUA